AGGAAAUAGAUACCAGGUAGUCCCAGCUGUAAACGAUGCAGACUAGGUGUUUGGACGGCCACGUGCCGUUCUAGUGCCGCAGGGAAGCUGUUAAGUCUGCCGCCUGGGGAGUACGAUCGCAAGAUUGAAACUUAAAGGAAUUGGCGGGGGAGCACCACAAGGGGUGAAGCUUGCGGUUUAAUUGGAGUCAACGCCGGAAACUCUCACCGGGAGCGACAGCAGUAUGAAAGCCAGAUUGAAGGUCUUGCUAGACGAGCUGAGAGGAGGUGCAUGGCCGUCGCCAGUUCGUGCCGUGAGGUGUCCUGUUAAGUCAGGCAACGAUCGAGACCCGCGUCCUCUGUUGCAACCAGCUUUGUGCUGGGCACACUGAGGAGACCGCCACUGAUAAA
rnacentral:rRNA from 1 species